rfam:Candidatus Daviesbacteria bacterium RIFCSPLOWO2_01_FTLL_40_24 rifcsplowo2_01_scaffold_484, whole genome shotgun sequence.
UUUAUUGAGAGUUUGAUCCUGGCUCAGGAUGAACGCUGGCGGCGUGCCUUAAGUAUGCAAGUCAUGGGGGUUCCGCAAGGAGCAACCGGCGGACGGGUGAGUAAUGCAUGGGAAUCUACCUUAAAGUUGGAUAUAGCUUGCCGAAAGGCAGGGUAAUCUCCAAUGUGUACUGAGAUCGCAAGGUCGAAGUAUAAAGAGCAAUCGCUUUAAGAUGAGCCUGUGUCCUAUCAGCUAGUUGGUGGGGUAAAAGCCUACCAAGGCGACGACGGGUAGCUGGUCUGAGAGGAUGGUCAGCCACAAUGGGACUGCGACACGGCCCAUACACCUACGGGUGGCGCAGCUAGGAAUUUUCGACAAUGGGCGCAAGCCUGAUCGAGCGACGCCGCGUGGAGGAUUGAAGGUCUUUUUGAUUGUAAACUCCUUUUGUAGCCGAAGAUUAUGACGGUAGGCUACGAAUAAGCCGCUGCUAACUACGUGCCAGAAGCCUCGGUAAUACGUAGGCGGCAAGCGUUAUCCGGAAUCAUUGGGCGUAAAGAGUUGCGUAGGCGGAUCGGUGCAUCUUGCUAUAAAUAUUCCGACUUAAUCGGGAUUCACGGCAAGAUAUGGCUGAUCUGGAAGAUGUGAGGGGGUGUUGGAACAGAUGGUGGAGCAGUGAAAUGCGUUGAGAUCAUCUGGAACGCCAAAGGUGCAGACAGACACCUAACACAUUCUUGACGCUUAGGCACGACAGCUUGGGGAGCGAAGCAGAUUAGAGACCUGCGUAGUCCAAGCCGUAAACGAUCUCUGCUGGAUAUCCGGGACUUGUCCUGGGUGUCGAAGCUAACGCGUUAAGCAGAGCGCCUGGGGAGUACGGCCGCAAGGCUAAAACUCAAAGGAAUUGACGGGGAGGCGCACAAGCAGUGGAGCGUGUGGUUUAAUUCGAUUCAAAGCGAAAAACCUCACCAGGGUUUGACAUGUAUCUGCAAGCGCACGGAAACGUGUGAUCUUCGAGAGUGAUACACAGAUGCUGCAUGGCUGUCGUCAGCUCGUGGCGUGAGCUGUACCGUUAAGUCGGGUAACGAGCGCAACCCGCACCGUAUGUUAAAUAAUUCAUGCGGAACUGCCCCAUUUUUGGGGAGGAAGGCGCGGAUGACGUCAAGUCAGCACGGCUCUUACACCCUGGGCAACACACACCCUACAAUGGCGAAAAACAACGAGUUGCAAGCCGGUAACGGCAAGCUAAUCUCUGAAAUUUCGCCUCAGUUCAGAUUGAGGUCUGCAACCCGACCUCAUGAAGGAGGAAUUGCUAGUAAUCGCGAAUCAGCAGGUCGCGGUGAAUACGUUCUCGCCUCUUGUACACACUGCCCGUCAAGGCAGCAAAGUUGGGGGCACCCGAACUUCCACUAUGUGGGAGGAAGGUGAAACCAGCGAUGAAGCUUAAGUCGUCCACUAAUGUGAGCGACCUCUGAUAGUAACAUCA